ensembl:lncRNA
UUGGCUUUUCCAGGCAGGGCCCAGAAAGGCUGGGCCUGUUUCCUCUUAACUCCGGAUCUUUCCAUUUCACCAAACUGCCUCCUCAGCCCUGGCUGACUAGCCAAGUGACCUCAGGAAGUCCCUCAGAUCUCCAGGCCUUGCUUCCUCAUUUGUAAGGAGACUGGAACUUAAUUUGGAGUCCUAAGACCCAAGUUCAAAUUCUGAUUGUUUCUAAUGAAAACUAACAUUGGUAGCCAUCUGUAGCAUGGGAGAGAAAGAGGGGAGAAAAUUACAAAAGAAAAUUACUAAUAACUUGGUUGUUUAUUUUAAAAAGAAAAUUACAAAAUAACUUUUUGUUUAUUUUAAAAGCAAGGUACUCGUAAUAGAUCGGCGGUUUCAGAUGCAAUACUCUUUUUUCUUCCGUUUCAUUUUGUUAUGGCAAUGGCUGCUUUAUUUCUUAAAUUCAGAAUAAAAAAAAGAUAAAAAAAUUCAACAUUUGCUCAUCACUUUAAUACUUGCAAAUCUAUGCAUAUGUAUUCCCCCGUUGGCUUUUCACCGCUCUGGGAGCAGGGUUAAGUGGUUGCCAGGAUCUCCAUCCUUCAGAUGAGGACGUAGGUUGGGAAGGGUUCCGUGACCCACCCAGAGUCGCCCCUUAUUUCCUUCCUUUGCCCGCCUAUGGCUGGCUCUGUUUAGCGGUUUGCACGCAGUCCUCGCUCUUAGAUUGUAACCUCCUUGAAGGCAGGGGCUCUCUUCAUGCCCGACCCCCGGCAUUUAGCGCGGCGCUUGGCAACAGUUGGGGCUUAACGUUACGAGGGAACGAUGGCGGCCGAGCUGCCUCCAACCCACACCCAGGCCGGGCGCUGGGCCCGAGCCCCGGCCGGUGCAGGGCGGCCCCUCGGCCUGCACGCCCAGCGGGCUCCGGGUCCGGGGAGCGCCGGCCCAGCCCGGGCUGCGGCGCGGUCCCCGGCCCAGGCUGCGCUGCGCAGACGCGGCCGCUAGGUGGCGGGGCCCCGCGAGCAGAGCGUGGGAAGCGCCCGGGCUCGGGGGCUGAGCUCACACGCUGGCUCGGCGGCCGCUGCAGAAGAGCCGGCGGCCGGCCGGGCGGCUGCCCGGGCUCCAGCCUCCGGGGGACCCCUCCGGGGGGCCCCCUCCCCAAGCGCCGCCCCGCUCCGGAAGCCGACUCAGAAGCAAAGCUGCUUGGCACAUGAGAGUGGGGGACAUCUGGCCCAGCCAAGUCCUCUGCAGCACUUGUUCCUGAAACAAACAUGUUCUGGUGUCUCCGUGUGCCUGGGUCUGCUUGACUGUUUCACCCCCUCCCCCAAACUACCCUGGAUGGGCACUGGGACCCAGACAGUAUGAAUCUCUGCUCUGGGCCCUACUGGAAGGCCGAAGACCCCGUGCGUGUGAAUUGGACCGGACACAAGAGAGCAAGGCAGCCACCUUCACCCCUGGCCGGGGGCUGGAGGAGGCCUGGAAGACCUCAGCCAGGCCUUCCGAAGAACUUUCCUCAGGAACAUAUGACUCAGCAGUUGGAUUCCCAGGGGGACAGAGGCCCCGAAGUUCUCCCUGCUAUGGUUGGAGUCCACACCUCUGGAACUUGGCACCUGAUCUUGGAAGGCCAGAGGGGUAAGUCGGUUUCAUUUUGGAUUCCUCGGGCUACAGUUCACCCUGGCUCCCCGGAUUUCCUGGCAGAAGACCCCCUGGUGGGGGGGUAGGAGGGGUGAUCCCUGCCAUCAGAUAGUCAAGUGGGGUUCUCGGUUCUCACUGCAUUGGGCCCAAAGGCCCCCUGAGAAAUCCGGAGGAACCUGGGUUUGGGGAAAAGCCAGCCUGUGAAUUACCCCUGACCCCUUCGUAGCAGAAAUAGUUAAUGUGAUGGUGGUCCUAGGAUGGCGACGAACCGUCCUUUAGGGACUUCAGAAGAUGAGCUGGGAUGCCGUUGGGCUGGGUUCUGGGGACCAUCUCCCAGAGUUCAGCAAGGCUCUGCAGGGGGGUCUCAGGGGAAGAGUUGAGCCUGCUGAGGGGAGGGUCUCGAAGCCCCAGAGCAUCCAAGGUGGUGGGUGAUGACAGGCCACCCAAAAGUGUGGCCAGAGAGGCGGGGUGAAGGCCCAACUUUUUUUUUUGGUCUUGUUUGACCAGCCUUGGCACUGCCCCCCCCCCCCAGCUCUCCAGGGGAAAGCUGCAAUUCUGCUAUUGCAACACAGGGAGCAGACUGGAGAAUUUAGAUCUGCGUCACACAGCUCAGAGAGAGAGAGAGGGAGAGAGAGAGGGAGAGCUCCGUCGAUAGGUCUGUUAGCAACAGCCCUGCAGCAGCAGCAGCAGCAGCAGCAGCAGAGAGAGAGAGAGAGAGAGAGAGAGAGAGAGAGAGAGAGAGAGAGAAGUAAUAUCAACAUUGAGGACUAGGUCCUGCCAACCCACUUGCGAAGCUUUCAGAGAUGUAUUGGGGACAUCGCAGCCCGUGGGAGCUCGGGCAGAGAAGAUGGCAUGCAAGGUGGCAGGAUGGCUCUGUGGGGAAGGAGGCUGGGGGGGCAGAGGUUGGGGGGCGAUGGCAGGCUCCGCCGGGGACGAAAUUCUGGAACAUUCUGUCCUGCGACACCAUACGGCAAGUUGGAUGGAGAGCCGGGACUGCGCAGGAGGCGACAGGCAGUUGUGACGGGCUCCCAGACUUGGUGGUGUGUACCCCUUCUUCCCCCACGUAUGUAUAUUCUGGGAUCGGGGGCGAUUCUUCUGUGGAGGGGGGUGCUUUCUCUCCUCAUCGCUUUUUUUUUUUUUUUUGGCUGUUUCCCUUUAAUUUUUCCACUUUAAUUUCCAUUCUCCUUAGGGUGAGUUAGUCCAAACUGACAUGGGUCAUGAGGAAGGAAACAGACUCCCCCUCCCCCCUCCAGGUUCCACUUCCAUCCACACCUUGAGCCCAGCAGGAGGUCCCUUUCUUUAGGAUGGACAGAUGACUCACCCUCUCUUUGGGUAUCUGUCUGUCAAUCAACAGAGUUGUGAUGCAGAAACGUUAGUGGGGGGGCCAGGGAAAGAAAAGGUGAAGGGACAACUUGGUUGGGGGCUCCCUGGCCCAAGGUCUGGCCAUGGGAGCGAGCGUCAGGGUCUGGGUGGAGCGGGAAGGGGGGUGGGACCCGGGCGCCCGGGUGGGGGCUGAGACUGUGGCAGGUUUGUCACUGCGUAGUUGGGGGAACUAAGUGGCGAGUGGUGACGCAGUCAUGGGCACAUCUGAGGGGGGCAGGGGAUCGAGGCUCCCCGAGUCUGCCGAGCCCCGCUGAGAGGGUUAAGGAUGAGCCGAGAAGGGGAAGCCAGCAUUUAGAGAUUAAAUGUCAUCCUUCUGGCGUUGCAAAGUUGUUUACCUUGCAUUCUCUGUGUCUCCAUGUUGGCAUCUCUCCAGUUCCCAUGUGAUGGCCUUCCCUGUACUGCUGCAUCAUUAACUAAGUGGCAGGGCUGGCCCUUCAUUGGCCAGGGGAGGGCUCAGGCUCCAGACACUUCCUCCCAUUGGUGAGAAGGGUGAUGGCAGGUGAAAAGCUCUUUUGGAUUGGCCGAGAACUGGGUAUCAAAUCUGAAUUUCCAUUUCACUGGAGAAAAAAAGGGGGGUAGUGUGGCGAUGAUGGUUGGAGCGUGGAGGGGGGCACCGGGCAGUUCGGAUCUCUGAAAGCUCUUCAGGGGCGUGUGUGUGUGCAACAGUGCCCAGGGUGCUUGGAGGCGGAAGCUCCUGGGCAUCCGAAGGACCCACAGGGCCAGCUUGAUUGCAUUUGCUCCUUAGGUGUAAGAAGAUCUUGCAGCUGUACAAACUUUUUUUUAAAUGGGUUUUUUUUUCUGGAGGGGGAGAAGAGUUGAUUUGAGAGGCAUGAGGGAUGGCAGAAGAGUUGACAGCCUCAGAAGAAAAGCUGCCUGGGCUUAUUUGAUUUCAAAAGAGGGAGUUUCCAGCUGUCACUGGCCGCACCUUGGUGUUGCAGCAAAUAACUCCCAACUCUCCUGGAAAUGCGUGGGCAAGGUAGGGCUGCGGCUGCUGCCUCCCGGGGCGGCCUCCAGACUGCUCCCCGGGGACCCGAGGUUUGCACUGACGUCCGGAGGUAGCCAUAGGUCCUCAGAGGCCAGCCUCGCGUCGGGGAGGACUGGCCUUCCUCACGUCAUCCUCAGGUGGAUGGGUGCUGGGGGAGAGGAAUGCCAUGAGGAAUGGCCCCGGAUGUUAGCCCCUGCGCUGGGUGGGCUUUCUCUAAGAGCUGAUGGAAGAAAGAGCUUCCUGACCUGCAUCGAAGGAGAGGAGAAUUGGGAGAGAGAAACUGGGGCAGCAGCUGCUGGGGGGAAUCUGAAAAAGAAAUGUUUAUCGAGAUCGUCAUCCUUCCCUUAAAUGGAGGUCCCAAGUUUGCCGUAGAUGUUCAGGUAAGAAAUAGAUAGGCCCCUUGAGCUCAGCUAUCCUCCCCCCCCCACCUCCCGAGUGGGUCAUGAAAGCUCCGUUGUGCCCCGGCCGUCCACCCCAGCGCCGCAGUGCACCCUGGAGUUUUGGCCGGCGGCUCGUGCCCCCCCAUUUCUUAUGUAACCGUGUUAUGUGCCUUCUCUCGUCCUCUGGCACGGCCCUCGCCCCGUUGGGGUGCAGAAAGCCCAGGAGGGAGGUCCUGGCUGGGGGAGAAAUUAGUGAACAAGGCUGCUCACCAGCCCCUGAGUGGUUGCGCAGUUGGCAAUACGGGCUGGGCGUGAGGGCAGAUUCCACCCUGUCCCUGCCUUGUCACCAGUGGUUUCCUGGGAACAUCUGCCUUGGAGAGAGAACGGUCCCUUUCAACUUCCUUCUGUAACUCAGCUCAUUUUGGAGGGGGGGAGAGCUUUCCAAAGGAGAAGGUAUGAUGGCUAACAAAGUAAGAUUUUAAAAAAAAAUUUUUUUUUAAGCAAAGAUGGAGGUCGGAUGGGAUGGCGUAGUUCUUGUGACUUUCUCGGGUCAUCCCGAUCCCGGUUGUUUUUCUUGUCCUUUUUUAAUUGUUUGCCCCUGGACAGUGGUCUUGAAUCCAGAUGCUUUCCUGUUGCUUGUCUUGGGGAGGUGUCCAUCAGUCCCUGCCAUGGUGGAGUGGGCUUCUGCGGCCCUACUGCGCCAAUUGCGCAGAACGGGCGGGGGCCGAUGCGGGGAGGGGGGAGGAGAUAGAGAACCCGGCUACUGCAGAAGCAGCAGAGGACGUAGUGGAGGUUGCGGCAGUGAGAGGAGGAGGUUCUCGGAGCCGGGAAGGGCUUGUUGUGCCCACCCUUACCCCGAGACCCAGACUUUGGGAAACAUGAUUAUUGUUCUUGGGACUUAUGGCUGUGUUGGGCAGGGCCCUCGCCAGUCAGAAAGUGUUUGGAGGCACAGACUGCAACGAUCCCCUCCUCGGAGAAAGUCCUGACGCACUUUGGGGUGGGGUGGCUGACGUAGCCCAGAACGUGAGAAGCAUCGGCCGUGGGGCCCGUGUUCCCGGCAGCCCAUUCUUCGACCACCGGCUGUGACGGGACGUGAAUCAGGUUUUGCUGCUUUCCAUGGCGUUUUGUGUAUGUCGAGAAUCCCGGGGGGGAUUUGAAGGUCACCCCUUCGUUUUACAGGUGAGGAAACUGAGGUUUGGGGAGGCUGUAAUUACGUAGAUAGUAGUAAAUACCAAGCCCAGGUAUCCAGCUGGCUUCUUCCGACUCUCUACUAUGUCACGUAGACUAUAUAACACAGGAUACCCCUUGAUUCUUUCCUUUACAUCCUUAUUUACAUAUCCCAUGUAUACCAGCCCUAAUUGGAAAAUUGGGAGAGUCAUUUAGGAGUGGGGAGUAAGGAACUAGAAGGAAGGGGUAUUUGUAAUGCAAGGAUUGAUGAGUUGAUUCUUCUCGUGGGUACCCCUUCCUGAGAUCGCCCAUGGUUUGCUACAUCAUCUCCUCCUCCUUCCGUGCAAAAUGUGCCGUCGUCCCUGAAAUUUGUCAUCCUUGCUCCCCGAAGAACCUCCAGGGGGCCACCUCUCUCCCUGCUCCUUGGCUCACAGCUUGGAGGACCGGCCCCCAGGUGGCCUCUUUUGGUAUUGUGGCCGCCUCAUGAUCCUUUCCCCCACCUCUCCUCCUCCUCCUCCUCUCAAGAGACAGUGGAUGAGAUCCUAGGGCCUCAGAAGCCUGUGACCAUAGAGCCUCAGCUCUGGCCGAACCUGCUAAGAGCAGUUGGUCUCAAUGAUGAGGUGCCCAUCACCAGGGGAUGGAGAGCCACAGGAGAAGUGGGGGACCAUGUCCUAGGGGCCGAUACCUGUGUCAGUGGAGGGACUAGUCACCCAUGUGGAAGGAUGGCUUCUUAGUGAUGUUAAACUAAGAUGGAUGACCAAGGAUUGAUACCUGUGUCAGUGGAGGGAAUAGCCGUCCACUUAGAAGGACAACUUUUUGAUCAUGUUAAACUAAGGUGGAGAACCAAGGAUGGUCCAGUUUAGGAGAACAUUGUCUAGGGGCUAAUCUUGUGUCAGUGGAAGGAGUAGCUGCCCAGAUGGAAGGAUGGCUUCUUAGUGACGUUAAACUAAGGUGGAUGACCAAGGAUGGUCCAGUUUAGGAGUUCAUUUCCUAAGGACUGAUACCUAUGUCGGUGGAGGGAGUAGCUGCCCAGAUGGAAGGAUGGCUUCUUAGUGACAUCAAACUAAGGUGGAUGACCAAGGAUGGUCCAGGGUAGGAGACCAUUGCCUAGGGGCUGAUCCUGUGUCAGUGGAGGGAGUAGCUGCCCAGAUGGAAGGAUGGCUUCUUGGUAAUGUUACACUAAGGUGGAUGACCAAGGAUGGGUCAGUUUGGGAGACCAUUUCCUAAGGGCUGAUACCCGAAUCAAUGGAGAGACUAGGCACCCACAUGGAAGGAAGGCUUCUUGAUCAUGUUAAACUAAAGUUGAUGACCAAAGAUUAUUCAGUUUCCCUUGAGACUCUCCCUUUAGAGAGCACAUUAAUAUCUCAAAAUUCCAAGUCUUCACAUGCCCUCUUCUGCUUUAUUUGUUCAUUUAACUGACAUACUAAAUAACCUGCUGUGUGCAAGACACUGGGGAAGGUAUUACAUAUUGCCUUUGAUCUGGAGGAGUUCACAAUCCAGUUGGGUGGGAGAAAAAGGGAUGGACUGGGACCCUCUGGUUUCAUUGGUAUAGGGAACGCCCAGUGAGGAAUCUCUUUUUUUCCAAAGAUUACCCAUCAGCGCCUGCUUUGCCACUUUGAGAGCUGCCUGGAGCUCCGAGGUCAGUGACUUGUAUCGGAUCGCACCAUCAGGAUGUGCCAGGGAUGCAGGAUUCUCUCCUCUCAGAGGGCUCAUCAGAAUGCCCAUGAUGGAUGCUGAGCCACAGAAACAUUGUUGGAGAACCUAGAACCUCCCUGGCCCAGCACUGUGUUUUGCAUAUAAUAGCCCCUGAAUAAAUGCUUAUUGGAUUGGAAUGAACUGAUUAAAUCAGCGAUCUUUGAAUUCCUGAAGUAAAUUUCUCCAGAAACCAUCUGUCAGCCUGUGUUAGAGACAUUUAUCAGGCUUUCAGGGAUGCAGGUGGCCGUGAGUCAUGGAAUGCCAGGGCUCUGGAGAAUGAAAGGUGUGCGUCACACAGAGAAGUGAUGGUGGGCGUCUGGCGUUGGCUGCGCAGGUGCGUUGUCAGCACGGCGGGGGGAAGGUGGGCCAGCCGCGUGGAGAGUGAGAGAACCAGUGGGCGGUCCACCUGAAGGUAAGCAACUGCUCCGAACCCACAGGCAUUUAUUAGGUACCUGCUGUGUGCACGGACAUUGCUGGGGGGGGGGGGGGGUCAAAAUCUUCAAGGAACUUUCUGCUUCAUUGGGGGGUGGGAUGCAACAUGUGAAGACAAAUAUAUACAUGGUCCUUUGACACGAAGGGAGAAAAGAGCAUCAACAAUUAAAGAUUUCAGGAAAGGUUUCCUAUAGAAAAGGAUGUCAUUCCUAGGAUUAAAUACAAAAUCUUGCACUUGGCAUUUAAAGUCCUAGACAACAUGGCUCCCAUCCACCUUUCUAGGACCCUAGAGGUACAGACUUGGAGUUCAGAUGAGAGGUUAGAGACACACACACACACAGGUUACAUAUAUGUAUGCAUGCAUGUGUGUGUGUACACACAUGCUUAUGUGUACCUUUAUUGUAUGUGUGCAUGUGUGUAUAUGAGUAUGUUUAUGGAUAUAUGUAAUAUGUGUGUAUAUGUACAUAUAUUUGAGAGGCUUUUACAGAAGAAUGAUAAUUGAAUCCAUGGAAGCUGAUGAGUUUAUUACAACAGGAUGUAAAAAAGACUAAAGAAGAGCACCUUCAACACAGCCUUGGGAUGUACUAAGCAAAGUUGGUGAGCCAAAAUGACUUGGAAGGGGUUAGACAGGUAGGAGAAUAAGGAUAGAGCAUUAUCAUCAAGACCCAUGGAGAGGAGAUGGUUUCCAAGAAGAGGGAAUGGUCAGCAGUGUCACAAAGCUUCAGAGGGAUCAAAAAAGAGGAAAACUCUGAUAAUAGGUUAACAGAGUUCACAGGAAUAGUUAAGAGAGCAUUGGUGAAGAUCAGAAUGCAAGGCGUUGAGAAGUGGGAAGUGAUGAAGCCUUUUUCUAGGAAUUUGGCCACAAGAGGGAGAAGAGAUAUACAAUAUAAUGGCUUGAGAGGAUGGAAACAUAGAAUAAGGGGGAAAGGGAGCUUUUUUCUUGGCAAAACAAUAAUCAGGAUUCUCUUCUUUAAGACAGGGGAGAUUUAUGGGGAAGUAACCACACUGAUAAAGUCCUAGGUCCAUUGAAGAUUAUCUAAAGGUUGUCUCCAGUUCAUUUACUGGAUCUUCCUUGAGCAACUUGGGAAGGCAGAGUAAGAGGAGGCAUGGAGGGGUUGUCAAUCUGCCCUGGUGAGGGAGUUCCACCAUUGAGUUCAGAGAUCCAUUCAAGUAUCAAAACGCUUUAUUUAAUUGGGCCCCAUGAAGGCCUAUGUGGCUGGCUUCCAAGGAUUAGCUCGGAUAUGUGCUGAGAGACUCAUCAACCAGAAGGUUGGUCACUAGGUGAUGAAUUAUUUUGGCUACAGAAGCAAAUAGACUAUGAAUGCUAAGGUGUGGAGAGGUUGCCAUCUGCUUCCUUGGAGGGUGCAACCAUGCCAAUUAAAUCAUAGAUCCCUGAAGCAUUGGAGGAAUUAUUAUUUAACAGUUCUGGUCUGGGGUUCAUUUAAAGAUGGAUUCUGAGUGAGAGAAUUCUUUCUUUUGGGAGGAAGAUAGACAGAGAUAGAGAAAUAGAGACAGAGAGAAACAGAGAAAGAGAGAGAGCAGAUAGACACAGAGAGAGGGAGACAGACAGAGAGAAACAAAGAGAGAAACAGUGAGAGAGAGAAGAGACAAAGAAAGACACAGAGAGAGGGAGACAGAAACAGAAAGAGUGAGAGAGAAACGAGAGAGAGGGAAAGAGAAACAAAAGAGAGGGAAAGAGAAACAGAGAAGAGAGGGAAAGAGAAGCAGAGGGAGACAGAGAGAAACAGAGUGAGAGAGAAAGAGAAGAGAGGGAAAGAGAAACAGAGAGAAGAGACAGAGAUAGACACAGUGAGAGGAAGACAGGGAAAGAAACAGAGAGAAGAGAGGGAAAGAGAAACAGAGAGAGGAGACAGAGAGACAGACACAGAGAGAGGGAGACAGAGAAACAGAAAGAGUGAGAGAGAAACAGAGAGAGAAAAGAGGGAGAAACAGAGAAGACAGAGUUUAUAAAGCCCUACUUCUUGUCAGCUUGCUUUCCUUGACCUUUAUGGCUUUGGGUGAUGGAAGAUCUCUGAGCGGGAGGGAUGUUUAUGGGCAUGGAGUGAAAGAAACGACUCCCAUAGAAGGAGUAUUACUUUGCUGAGUUUUCAGGAUGAGGCUCUCUGAAGGGUUGUAGUUGGUUCCUAUUGUUUGAAUUGCCUGGUGAGGUUUUGGUUUUAAAGGUGCUAUAUGAAGUUGGACUAAAGCAGGUUCCUUUCACUGGGGAGUCAUUAGUGACUCAGUGAGGCUGGGGAGGGUUAGGGGGCUUUGUGUCCUUGGGACCUUUCUGUGAGUCUCUUGAAAUACCAUGUUUAUCUGAUAAGUAGCAGCCCUGCAGUCUUUGAGGGGAUGCUCCAUGAGGGAUAAUGAGCAGCUCUUUCUAUUUUACAUGGAGAUUUAUAAGAAGUUUGCAGUGUGGUGGAUUUCAGUUAGAUAUUGGGCAGAACUUCUGGAUCAGAUCAGGAGAAACCAGACCAACAGGCAGUGGUUAGGGUUUUCUAAGAAAAGGGGCUAAUUUAUCAGUUGACUCCAGGAUAGGGAUUUGUGGAAGUGCAUUGUUGGAGACAAGCAACUUUUCAAGAGCCUUCUUGGCCUUGGCAUAAUUACAUGACUGCCACAUGUUCUGAUAGCUAAGGAACUGGGUUACCGUGGCCCUCGCCCCCUUUCUGCUUCAGGGUCUCUCUUUACUCCGUGCUGUAGCUGCUGAGCCAAGAGGCUUGAAUUGUGUUGUACUAGAGUAAAUGCUUUGUCCUGGCAACCCACCCCCUAACCUGACUUGUGUGGGCUCCUGGAACUUGCCCCAGAAAUAGCUUUUUUUUUUUAUGAGAAUAAAAAAAAAAGAAAAGGAAAAAAAAAGGAAGAAAAAGGCCCAUGAGGGCAUGUUCCCACCAAUCCCUCCCAGGGAGGAGCCUCAGGCUGGGUGGGACCUGUAGCCACAGGCCUGGGCACUGCCCACCUGCCCCGCAGCCAGGAAUUCUGGUAGUUGUGUAGGAGGGAGCUCUGUGGUCCAACAGGGUAAAUUUGGCACCACUAUCCAGAGAUGAUUUUUUGAAGGUUGGGGGGGAAGGGACAGAAGUAGAAUUGUGUGCAUCCCUUGCCUUCCCUAUAGCUCUACCUGUGAAUAAGGUAGAGAUCUACCGAGACAUGGCCGUCAUUCGUGCUGAAAUGGCUGGGAUGGUACUGGGUGAAUAGUGGUGGUUUAAGGUAGAGCCUCACCUGGGGAACAGGAAGUACAUGUGCAUGUUUCUUAGUUAAGAACUGGACGGUCCAGAGCUUGGAAAAAUAAAUAAAGAUACAGCUAAGUAUAGAUUUUAAUAGAAGAGCAAAGUCUGCUGUUCAGAAGAACUAUUUGAAAUCGGACAGUUUUUCUUUUUGUAGUUAGCAUAAUGCAGGACCCAUUGUAAAGGCCUACUGAAUGCUUCUCCAUCGCAUCCCAUUGCCUGGGGAUUGGCGGGGGGGCCGUGAGUUCACUGCCGUUGGUCUUUCCCUCUUGGGCUACUGGAAAGGGUAGGACAAGAGCCAGCAACAUUUUGGUGGACGGUGAUCAGGAGAGCUCACGGCCUACUGUGCUUCAAAGUUUCCCCAAGUGUUUUCCUUCUAGCCAUUUUAAAAAUGAGAAAAUUGAGGCUUAAGGAGAUCAUGACUUGCCUGGGUAGCAGAGCUGGACCUGAAGCCUGCUUCUUUAGGCCCAGAGUCUAAGGUUCUUCCCCCAGUCUGAAUUUUCUUACUCUCCAUCUCUCUGUCGCUCCAUUUGUAGACCACGUGCAAACGUGUCCGUGUGAACUUCCUCUGACGUGCAUUUAAGUUGAUAGAGAUGCAUGGAUGGGGCAGGCUCUGUGUGUGUGACUGCGCAGAUAUGUGUGCGAGUGUGGGAAUAGUGAUGUCAUCGGCAGGAUAGAGAACUUCCAGGAAAGACGUUUUCCCCACCAACACAAACCAAUAAUAUUUGGGAGCUUUUAGGCAUCGAAGAGUUAAGCUGCCUGUCAAGCCCCAAAGUAGAAGUCAGAGGCAAGAGUUAAAUCCGGGUUUUCCUGACUCACCCCUGCGUUCUACCCAUUAGCCCUUGCCCUUCUCACACUUGGUUCUGGAGGACAACUCGUAGACCCCCUUUCCAUAAUCUAUCCGUUACAUAUCUGGUGUAUUGCAUUGUACUGAUUAAUUUUUAAGAAAAUGUCUUGGGUCACUUAACUUUAGGGGAAAAAAAGUUUUAGAUAUAAGCCAGAGCUCAUUUCAGAGAUAAGCCAUCUGCCCAGACUGACCCGUGGGACCCCAGGAUGGUCCGGGACCAAGGUGGCAAACCCCGGCCCUGACAGGAGGGCCUGCGGCGUCUCCACAGGGUUCCUGGGGAGGGGAGGGAUAGGUCACUUUCUCCAUUCCCACUCUCCUUUUCAGUUGCUUUUCUUUUGUCUUGACCUCUGGCUCAUUGACCCUUAAAGCCCCAGCCCCUGAUGGUGCAACCAAGCAUGUCCUUGUCGGGCCCGGAGUGCCUCCGCAGGAUGGGAGAGGAGAGCAUGAGGGUAGAGGGCAGAGAGAGGGGACACGUGUUCUUGGCCAUUGGGCCCUUUCCAAGACAGGUGAACUCUGUGUUCAAAAAGGAGCUAAUUUAAUCUCUUGGCUCCAGUGUGCUUUCUCAAUCUUCCCCAGCCUGCCCCCCCCCCCCCACGCACACACACCUUUAAAGAAUUUAAUCUGCUCAACAACAAACAAUACUGUUAUAAAACUUUGAAAACAAGAGGGCGAGGUCUCCCCGACAAGAGGAGAAGUGCAUGUUGGGUAACGGCCGGAGGGAGAGUGCCAGGCCUGGGAUAGAGCCGGGCGAGAGCCCAGUUGGCUUGGUACCUGGGCACCCGCCCCCACCAGCAGCGUCAUUGCUGACAGGAGGGGGAGACAUCAAAGUUCAGUCAGGGAUCUCUCUCCCCCUCCCUCCUUCUCCUUUCCUCUCCCUCUCUUCUGUCUCUUUUCCCUCCCUCCCUCCUUUCCCCCUCUUUCUCUCUCUCUCUUGUCUCUCUCACAAUCUAUUUCAUUCCCUUCUCUUUCCCUCCAUCCUUUCUCUCCCUCCCUCCUUCCCCACCCCAUUCUCUCUCUUUCCUUCCCUCCUUUUUGCCUCCUCUCCCCUUCCCCCCCCCCCCCCCCCCCAUGGGAAUUCACCAGACUGUGAAACUUCCUCCUCCACCCCUCCCUCCCCGACUCGCUGUUCCUGGUCAUAAGACUGGCAGAGACAGGUCCUGAUAGCAGAGCAGGCCGGUGGGCAGCCGCCCCGCCGCUCGCCACAUGGUGCUUUAGGGGAAGCAGGCGAGGGGCGCGCUCACCGGGCGCUGGGCUCCGGACCUACCCCAUGACCGGCCGGGCCCGGCCCCGCUCCCCCCCCCCCCCAGGAGCAAAGUGGAGCGGCGUCACUGGGCGUGCCCGGCUCGGUGUGCCGCCUGCCAGGUGUGCCAGGCAGUGGGCAGAGCUGCCAGGCUGAGGCUGGCCGACGUGCCCAGCGCUUCCAGGGCGAGAAAGAAGGGGCGCAGGGGGCUGCACUAGGGAGGCCUCUGACCUGUCAGAACCCUUUCCUCAGGGCUGGGAGUCCUUUGGAAGAAGUGGAAGCUGUGCCGGGGACACCGGCACCUGGCCGACUCCUGAGAGCGUGAGGACGACGGGGCUUCCUCCAGCCGCGGCCUCCUGGGGAGCAGGUGCCCAGCCGAGAGUGCCCGGUAGGAGACAGCCCGCCCCGAGGGGCCGGGGAGGGGGGGCCGGGCUCCCCCAGCUCGGGGCCUGGGGAGCGAGCACAUGGAGCCCGGGGCCUCCCCAGGCUCCUCCCUCCGGGCUCCUCCUGACAUUGCCCCAGCCCCGGCCUGUUGGCUCUCCCGGGCUGCGGUUUCACUUUUGAAUCGGCCUUCCCCGGAGAGGGCCUUAAUCCUCCGGUGUGUGUCUGAGACUUUGGGCCCGGACUCGGAGGCCCACCUGUUGGGGCGGCGACCCCUGUGCGCGCCCCCGGAAGGGUCUUCGCUCCUCCGGGAGCACCGGGAGGGCACCAGCUUCCUUUCCCUGCCCCGUGCCUGGGCCUUUCCGGGGCGCUCUCACACACACGGGCAUCCCCCCUUGGAGCCAGACCCAGAAGCCUCUCCUUCCCCCUCAGGAAACCAGAGAGCCGGUGCCGGGGACCUCACACAGUGAUUUCCUGACAGAGGGCCUCCCUUUGUGGGUUAGCCUGCACCUUCUGGGCUUUGUCAUUGGGAGCUAGAACGGCCGUGCGGAGGCCCCGGUGGUCCUGCCCCUCCCCUCCCCCCCCCCCCCCCGGAGGCGGGCCCCCGCCCCGCCCCCGUGCCUGCAGGACGGGAAGGCCCCCCCAGGGCGAUCGCAAAAGGGUCCCCUCGAGUCCCAGCCCCCCGCGAGGCAGCCGGGGGAGCCGGAGUCAGGGCCCAGGAGGGAGGCCCGGGGCCGCGUGCUCCGGCUGGGAUGUAAGGGCCAAGCCGGGGCGAGCUGGGAGCAGAGCUGGCCCCGCCCCCUGCAGACCCAGACCCCGUGUCCCCGCCGCGUGGGGCCUGGCGAGGCCCGGAGCGGCGUUUCCUGCCGGACUCCCGGGGCCGGCCCGGAGCGGGGCUUUUCUGCGUCCUUUGCGCCCACCCCUCGGCGGCUGUGAGCCGGCGCCGGAGGCACGGGCAGGACGGAGAAGCUGCUGCUGCUGUCGGGGGAGUCUCUGCGGGCCCUGAGGCGGGCCGGGGAGGACGGGCGGCCCCCCCAGGGCUCUCUCCCCCGCUUCCCACAAGUUCUCCAUCCCUCCUUAGCCGAGUACUUAUCAGGGACCGGCUCCAUGCGCGGUGCUGGGGGAGGCCCAGGAACCGCGGAGCCCCCGCCGGUUCUGCAGCUGUGCUUUCUCCCUUUGGGGAGGCAAUGGAGCGGCCGCCUCUGUGCUCGGGUCCUCCCGCCCGCAGGGCGGCGCUCUCACUCCGCCGGCCCUCCCUGCGUGUAGGUCUGCCACCCGAGAUCUCCUGGGUCCGGCUUUUCCUCAGACGGACAGACCCCCUCCCUCUCAUUUUGGUCGGCGCCACUAGGGGUACGGCGUGGGAGAGCCCCGUCCUCCGGUCAAUGCGCCGCCGGGCUGGAGGCUUCGGUUAGCCACAGCCUCAGGCAGUGGGGGGUGGGGAGGGAGGGAAGGGCCGGCUCUUUGAGUAAAAUGUAAGAUCUCCUUGGGCCUUUGCAUCCCCAGGGCCCUGCACACAGAGGACACAUCAAUAAAUGCGUUAGGGCCGCUAGGGGACGCUGCGGAGGGAGCCCCAGCCCGGAAGUCAGGAGGCCCCGAGUUCAAAUCCAGCCUCGGACACUUAACGCCUCCUGGCUGUGUGACCCCGGGCAAGUCACUUAACCCCAGCUGCCUCAGCGAACAUAGAUAAAGGUGUUAGAUCUCAGGUGCGAUGCACCUCGGCUGGUUGGGUUGCAGGAAGGCCGCGGGCCCGGUCAGGGACGGCUUGCGGAGAGGACAGACGCCCUGGGGGGGGGGGGGGGGGUUAGAGGA